AGUAGAAGUCACAGGCAGCCGCUCUUACUGCCAUGAGCCGCACUGCAAAAUCCAUUCCCAGCCCUUGGCCAGCAGUUGGCUCUGAAUGGCAGGAAAUACGGAUUAAAUAGAGAAGGGCAAUGAAGACCUACAGUGUGCAGAGUACUUGAAUAGCUCUGAGACACUCUCCUGAGCUGAGACAAUGGGCUGAGCCUUUGAGAACCUCUCAAGCAAGGAUUCAGGAGAGUGAUGGCUGCCCUACAGAAAGGACUGGGUGCUAGUCAUGAGCAGACAGCAAGAUGGGGUGUUCCCCUCCGUGAGUGGGCUCCUGAACAUGCAGACUCCAGCAGUGUGGUGACGGAACCCUCAUUCUUCAGGCAAAUACUUGAGAGCAACCAUAAGGAGGCGUCCUGCACAAAGUCCUUGGUUCUUCUUGCAUGCCCAGUGCUUCUCUCGCUUCUCACGUCCUGUGGUAAUGGUGUUUCUCACAGUAACGGCUGACAUCUGGCCUCUAGCUUUGAUAACCCAUCAUCCCUGGUGACAUUAGUUACUCUUGUCUCCCAGCAGCAGCUCUUGUCUAUAGAUGACAGCCAACACUGAACUUCCAAAUGACUGCUGGCCUUCCUUUGGGCAAGCAAUCGCCUACUGUUUCUACAAGUGGAAUGCCGUUUGAGGUGGCUGUGUGGGUUUGCCAUCUUCUGGUGGACGUAUCAGCCUUGCAUAGCUGUUCAUUCUAGGAUUCACACUUAUAGGAGCCAUUUGCUAACUCCUUCCAAUAUACUCCAUGCCACACUAACUCUGCUACUUAAACUUCAGUCGCUGUGAAUUAUGGCCCUUUCUAGCCAUUGAGAGUUACCCUGAGAGUGUGUUAGCACUGUUUCUCAGAGGCCUAGUCAGGGGGAAUGUCCUAGCAACAAAUUUUAAGGUCUGAUCCCUUCCCACCCAUCUACUUAGUGGCGUAAUCUCAGGAUCCCGUUCCACAUUACUUUCCCAGUUUCUGUUGACAUAUGUUGUUUAGGUUCUACAGUUUCUCUGGGGUAUAGCUCCUUUCUUCCUGCAAACAUUUUCAUGGCUAAGAUGUCCUGUAAUUUCAUCCUAUUGUUUUCUUGUCUGGUGGAUAAGGAAAUAGGGAGAUCGUGUGUUAUUCUGUGAGGUGGAGGUUUUUGCAUUAGCUGUGGUGAUCUACACACCAAGCUAUAUGCAGCCCAAAGAUUGCCAAGAACAUCCACCAGGAUGUACUCCUACCACGGCUGAGGGUUUUGUCCCUACCUGAUUGCAGUCAACAUUAGUGGAAUACCUCUGCAUGGCUUCAGAAGCCCACUGCUACUCCUAGGAUCCAUUCUGGAUGUUUCUCUAAGCUCUUCCUACUUCAGGCAUCAGGAGAUGAGAGUUAGGCCAUGCUUCUGAACGUGGUUCCUCUGCUUGCCAUCUUCUUUCUCUAAAGCAGGGAUGGGUCUCAGCCACACCCGCCCAGUUCUGCCCUCUUAUAGCUCCAUAUUCCCCCACCACUGCCUUGCUCACACUUGUCCAUCUUUCCAGGCACCAUGGGGAAACUGCACAACACUUCUACCUUGUGACAGAAGCCAUCCGUGUGCCACCUACCACCAGUGAUGGCAUUCUUGUUGCCAGCUCAAAAUUUAGCUUAAAUUUUUUUUUUAUCCAUACCCGUGUCCUUAGAUACUUGAAGAACCUCUGCUUCAGGAGUCAGAUUUCUUGAGAGGGAGACUCAACACAGUCACUGGUGUGUUUGAGACACUGAGAACCCUAAGAGGCAAACGAACAGGAUUGGGUAAGGAUAGAGGCCAGCAUGCUGAAGCGAAGGUCUAGGCAAAUCCCAGGUAGACCUCUGUUUGGGUGACCUUCAGAGCGAUCCUGAGGUGGGGGAGGAGGCUGGCAGGAUUCCAGUGGAUUUGUGACUCAUCAGCUUCAGGCUCCUUCAGAAGAAAGGAUGCUCAAUCCCUCAAAAACCUUUGAAGUUGAAGAGAAGGAGGGGAAAUGAAGCCUCAGUCUGAGACUGUGGUACAGACAGGGAUCUUCUUUAAUGAAGGGGCUUUAGCCUGUCCAGCCUAAAGGAUGGCUGUAGAGAAAGGAGACUCAGUCACCAGGAGCUUAGGAUUCACCAUUGGCUGGAAUGCUGCAGGAUGGAAGCUAAAUCAGGAACAAAGUCACUUCCUUGCUUCUGCUGAGAGCAGUGACACGCAGCCAGUGAAUGUACGUGUGUGUGUGUGUGUGUGUGUGUGUGUGUGUGUGUAAAUUCCUCAUUUAAAAAUUGAUAGUGUGUGUUAUGCCUGAAAACACUGUUCUGAAUUCCUCCCUCCCCUCCCCCUCCCCUCCCCCUCC
rnacentral:lncRNA from 1 species